CAGUCGCCGCGGUAAUACGAAGGGUGCAAGCGUUAAUCGGAAUUACUGGGCGUAAAGCGUGCGUAGGCGGUGAGUUAAGUCUGCUGUGAAAUCCCCGGGCUUAACCUGGGAACUGCGCUUGUGACUGCACAGCUAGAGUAUGGCAGAAGGGGGUGGAAUUCCACGUGUAGCAGUGAAAUGCGUAGAGAUGUGGAGGAACACCGAUGGCGAAGGCAGCCCCCUGGGCCAACACUGACGCUCAUGCACGAAAGCGUGGGGAGCAAACAGGAUUAGAUACCCCCGUAGUCCCUGUCUCUUAUAA
rnacentral:rRNA from 1 species